ACGGUUUUAACAAGACUUUAUGGUUAAUUUUUUUUAUAAAAGUAAAUUCAAAUUUUAAUAAAUAAAAAUAAUGAUUGUUAGUUAGUACUAAGUUUGGUCCACAUGUACACUCAUAUCUUUUCGAUGUAGUAUAAGGCACCUCUUAGUAAAACAAACUAGCAAUAGUAGCAAGUCCCUAUUGUAAACCACUAGGACACUCUUGCUAGCUUCUCAGUCAAAGCCAGCAAGUCCGCCCUUUUCUUUGCAGGUCUCUCGAGCACUUAGAGACAUUCUUCGAAUCUUUAACAUACAGGUGCACCAUACGGAAAAGACGCAAGAAGGAACGAGUUCUUGGGACUCCUACACUUGCUUGCGGUCGUCUGCCGCUAAUCGUUCCAUUGGAUUUCUGUUCUUACUAGUCCUUAAAGGCUUGUCCGCUGCCAGCAUAGCCAAGAACAUCGAAAACUGUUGGUCCGCCAUCGUCCUGACCGCCACCUGUCAUCCAUGAUCACAAGCCAAUUUCGUGGAAGUUAAAAUUUGGAUACAUGAUCCACAAAAUUAGGUAAAAUCUUAUCCAAAUAUGAUUUGAAUUUAUUGCCUAAUCCGCAACCGUAUAUGCUCUUUAAUUCUAUCUAUAAGGCUUUAGAUGAAAUUAUCGAUUAUGCUUUCGGAUUACACCCAUUAUCUCAAGUUUUGGUAUCCUUGAUAUUUUGAUCUUUAAGGUCAAAUAUCAAUUUCUUGAUUUUAUUCAUGGAAUUAUGGAUGAUUAGAUAUUGAUCUGUAUUUGAAUUGAUUGGAUGAUACCUUUGUGGAUUAACUGGUAUGAAUAUUUUGAUUGCUUUCUUAGUCUUCAAAAGAAACAAAAAGAUUGCAUUGCAUAUCAUGUAGAUUAAUUAGGUUAUAUUGCAUGUUUAAGUAGAUUCUGUAAAAUUCAAGAUAAGGAUUCUAAUUUAAAUUAGGAAUUUUUGCAUUGUUUAAUACGUAAAUUGAGCUAGAUAUUAUCUUUGUUCCAGGUGGUUAGUUUCCCUUAUUUUUAAUAAUGAAUUUCAAUAAAAAUUCCAAAAUUGUCACGUGCGUGUCAUAUGUAUUAGUUGCAUGUUAUCCAUGUACCUGCCAUGUCGUAUAGUUCAGGUUGAAAUUAAUGCAUGUCAUAAACGUGUGUCAUCUAGUAAUUGCCGAACAGUUUCGUUUAGUUAAAUUGCAUGUCAUGUAGAGUAGUUGCAUAUUAAUUAUUGGCCAUCAUUAUAAUUAGGCUAGAUAGUUAAAUUGCGUGACAUAUAGCUUAGUUUUCAUUUAAACAAGAGAAAAUCCAAAAAGAGAUCUAAGUAGAAUUGUGUGAUAACUAGAAACCAUAUUUAGGUUGGAUAUAUGUUUCUAAUUAAUAUUUGUCGUAUAUACUUACAUUGCUUUGGGGUAAGUGUUUUUUCCCUAUGCUUUCGAUUUACUUAUAGCUUGGCCUUAUUGAGUGUUCAAUAAUGGUUAUGCACCUACAUGAUCACCUUGUUAGCUAGAGAGAUGUUAAAUCAAUUCAAGUUGCCUUCUAAAUAUUUUAGAAAAUAAAAGAGAAAAUGUAUUGAAAGGAUGUUAGAGUAAUCUACCGUAAUCAAGUUCUUGAAUUCAUUUAAUCUUCGGUUCGUAGAAGAAAGGUAUACUUCUUGAUACUUUACUUGGCUAUCUAUCAUGCCCCGAUUCUCGGGCACACGCCUAUCCCUCAUCUUGGUCGAUUAAAAAUUUGCGAUAUCCCAGGAUGUAUCACUGACCCUUUCAUUUUCAUAUGCACAUGUGGAAGCAAUUAAAAAUCCCCAAACAAUAAAACAUUGGGAUAGAACAGUAGGACUAAAUUUCGAACUCUUAAAAACUUUCACUCUUAUAUACAAGGUGAUCUAUUAAAUUUAAUUCACAUUAAGCCAGUUUAAAAACAAGGUCUACAAGCAGAAGUGGGGUUCUACAAGCUAUGGGUCUCGUCCUCCUCUUCAUCAUCCUCCACACUCCAACUGGAGCCUUCAGCAGACUACACUGAACUUUCGAGAUCUUCAAAAUCCAAGUCUACUGCAUCUAGGGACUUGAAAUGGUUAUUUAAUAACCAAUGAAACAACGUCUUAGCAAGUUCUACCCCCUAAAACUCGUUUAGUAAAUUAAUACACCUUAGGGCUGCUUAUGCACAACACGAGUCAGAGGAUUUACCUUGGCCUCAGAGUUUGCCCUGCAUAUUAGCACAAAUCAAAUAGGCACCUAAGCAAUCAUAUCAAAGAUCGAUAUCUCGAUCAAUCGAGCUAGUCGAUUACCAAUAAACAAGACCACUCAUCAGUCAUUUCUAUUCAAUCAAUUAAUUCACAACAUCAUAUCAAAGCAAUGAUCAAUCGACCUAAUUGAUUACAUAUCCAUCAGACCAUACAUUCCCCACAAUGUAUAUCUAGUUGUCAAGCACACAUGACACAUGCAUUCUCUUAGGCACUAGUUCACCAAAGUCAUGUAUCAAAUCAUUGAGCUCAUGUGUCUCUUCCAAGAUGCCACACAUAAGUCCUUGGGCCCACGUCCAUUCUCUUAGGCACUCGCUUGCCAAAGUGAUGCAUCAAUUCACCGAGUUCACGUGCCCUUUUUACGAUGCCCAGGCCCACGUGCCUUCUCUUAGGUACUAGUUUACCAAAGUGACGCAUCAAAUCACUGAGCCCACGUGCCCUUUUAGAUGCCAUACUUAAUCAUUGGACCCACGUGCAUUCUCUUAGGCACCAAGUCUGCCAAAGUGAUGCAUCAAAUCACCGAGCCCACGUGUCCUUUUAGAUGUCAUACCGAAACAUUGGGCCCACGCGCAUUCUCUUAGGUACUAGUUCGCCAAAGUGAUGUAUCGGAUCACUGAGCCCACGUGCCCUUUUUAGAUGCCAAUACUUAAUCACCGAGCCAACGUACCAUUCUCCAGGUGAUUUACUUUCUACCAUGAUUCCACUAUGAAACAACUCCUUUCUCUAUAGAUCACCAGUCUACUAUCAAUACUGACCAUCGAUAUCCGAUCAUUUCCCAAUCAAAUAAUCAAAAACAACCAUUUAGGAAUAUAUCCUAAAAUUCCAUAUUUAAUUCAAUUCAGCACGAUUCAAAGCUCAAAUAAAUAAACGGAUUGCACCACGACAAUUAGCACGAAAUUGCAAUCACCGGCCAUCCUGGUUGAAUUUUCGGAAAAAUAAAUAAUUAAAUAAAUAAUUUCGAAAAUUAAAUAAAUAAACAUUAAAAAUCCAAUUUAGGCCCGUGAUACCUAAUUGGAACUCGAAACGGGUCGGGAAAACCCCGAGAUACAUUCAAUAAAUAUUAGAAUCUCUCUACUGGUUAAUGACUAAGUCCAACCACCUAACAUGCAUCAUUAAGUCACUAAUUUAAUUGUUCGAAACUAAUCUAAUCGCCUAAUUGCGCUUAAUUAAAUCUAAUCAACCCUUAGGUAUAAUUAGCAAACUAAGAAAGCAUUAGUGAGUAAAACUCACUUGGCAAAGUGAAGAUCGGAACAUUGCGAUGGCGAUGCAAUAGCGGUCGAAAUCCAAAUUUUUGGCAGCGUCGGCGGAUACUCGGGUCGGGCCAAAAAGCCUUGCAAGCCCCACAGAGAACUAUUGGGCUUGGAUUGCUGAAGUCUCAGGCCGAAUUGCUGAAUUAACGGGCUGAACUUCAAAGCCAAAGGUGGGCUUGAAACUUGAUGGAGAUGAUGGGCCGAACUUAUUGGAUCCUUGGGCUUCGCUGGAAAUGGGCUGAGCUGAAAACAAUUGCGAACUGGGCUGAGUUGCUGAAGAUGGGCUUGACAAAUUCGUGUGGGCUGAAGAAAAAAAAACUUUUGUGGACUGCUGCAGCUGAAGCCUCGGCUGGGCUUGACUUCAAUUGGGUCGUGCAAGAAGCAGCAAGGGCUGCUGACUGAAGAGCUGUUGGACUAGGUUUUGCUGGGCCGAAGAUCUGAAGAUGCUGGGCUGAAGAGGCCGAACUUUAGCCUGUCUCACACGGGCUAGAUGGACGCUGGCGCACGGAGGAAAAUGGAGGGCGACGCACGCGGUUUCGUUGGUCUUCGGUUGCUUCGUGCGCGGCAGCAAGGAAGGCCGCUCGGUGGAGAUUCGUGCGUUGCUGCUGCAGACUACGCGGACGAAGAAGCAGCUUGCUGUCUUCGAUGGGGAAAAACGACCGACCGUGCGAUGGGAGGAGAGAGAUCACGGGGCUGUGGUAUUCAGUGGAGCUGCAGUUAACCAAGGACGUGGCAGCAAGCGGUUGGACAGAAGACGUGUGGAUGGGGCAGGCGUCGGGGACGAAACGAAGAUGCUGAAGCUGAGCGUUGAAGACCUGCUGGGAUUGAAGAAACCGAAGGGAACAAACGUGAGUGGAGCAGGGGCAAGCUAGCAGGAGGAGUCAACUGCUAGGCUUUCGGUGGCUUGCUGUUGACCGUGAAAGAGCAGGCUGUGAACACGUAGAGAAGCAGACGUCGCUGGCAAGGGUCUUCGGUCAGCAAGGCUUCAUGAAAUUUUGAAGCCGCGUGGAGCUUCGGUCUUCGUGGGCAGAGAAGACUGAGAUGCUGGCUCAAGUGGGGUUUCGUUGAGUGGAGAGAGAUGAGGAGAGCAGCGAAGGAAAUUAAGGAAAUGAAAUUGAAGCAGAACUUGGUGGAGUCGGCCGUGAAGAUGAGGCGCACGAAGAGAUGAAAGACCGGCAAGCAAUGGUGCUCAAGUGGUCUUGCAAAAAGGGGCCCCAAAGUCAAUCAAGCUUAUCCCUAAAUUGAAUGCUUGGACUCGC
rnacentral:lncRNA from 1 species